UACAGGAGGACCAAGUGCUAUUCAACGUAACUGGGCGUAAAAGCAUGUAGUCGGUAAUUCUAGUUUUUUUCUUAAAUACACAGGGGGAGCUUGUGGUUUAGUUUUCAGCAAUGAAUUUACUUGAGUUAACGCGAGGUAAUUCGCCUUUUAAAUGUGCAAGGGUAAAAUCUGUAGAAAUUUAAAAUACGACCGAUGGUAGAAACCAAUUACCAGCCUAACUGACGAUGAGAUGCUAAAGUAUGGGGAUCAAAAAGG
rnacentral:rRNA from 1 species